rnacentral:rRNA from 1 species
CGCCGCGUGAGGGAUGACGGCCUUCGGGUUGUAAACCUCUUUCAGCAGGGACGAAGCGCAAGUGACGGUACCUGCAGAAGAAGCACCGGCCAACUACGUGCCAGCAGCCGCGGUAAGACGUAGGGUGCGAGCGUUGUCCGGAUUUAUUGGGCGUAAAGAGCUCGUAGGCGGCUUGUCGCGUCGACCGUGAAAACUUGGGGCUCAACCCCAAGCCUGCGGUCGAUACGGGCAGGCUAGAGUUCGGUAGGGGAGACUGGAAUUCCUGGUGUAGCGGUGAAAUGCGCAGAUAUCAGGAGGAACACCGGUGGCGAAGGCGGGUCUCUGGGCCGAUACUGACGCUGAGGAGCGAAAGCGUGGGGAGCGAACAGGAUUAGAUACCCUGGUAGUCCACGCUGUAAACGUUGGGCGCUAGGUGUGGGGGGCCUCUCCGGUUCUCUGUGCCGCAGCUAACGCAUUAAGCGCCCCGCCUGGGGAGUACGGCCGCAAGGCUAAAACUCAAAGGAAUUGACGGGGGCCCGCACAAGCGGCGGAGCAUGCGGAUUAAUUCGAUGCAACGCGAAGAACCUUACCUGGGUUUGACAUGGCCGCAAAACUUCCAGAGAUGGGAGGUCCUUCGGG